rnacentral:rRNA from 1 species
GAUGAACGCUGGCGGCGUGCCUAACACAUGCAAGUCGAGCGAACGGUCGGGAAGUUUGCUUCUCUGAUGUAAGAGGCGGACGGGUGAGUCACAUGUGGAUAACCUACCUAUAAGACUGGGAUAACUUCGGGAAACCGGCGCUAAUACCGGAUGAUAUUUUGAACAGCAAGGUUCAAAAGUGAAAUAAGGUCUUGCUGUCACUUAUAGCUGGACACGCGCUGCAUUGGGUAGUUGGUAAGGUAACGGCUUACCAAGGCAACGAUGCAUAGCCGACCUGAGAGGGAGAUCGGCCACACGGGAACUGAGACACGGUCCAGACUCCGGCAGGAGGCAGCAGUAGAGAAUCUUCCGCGAUGGACGAGAGCCGAACGGUACAACGCCGCGUGAAUGAUGAAGGUGUUCGGAUCGGAAAGCGCUGUUGUUAGUGAGGAACAUAUGUGUAAGUAGCUGGGCACAUCUUGACGGUACCUACACAGAAAGCCACGGCUAACUCCGUG